UUAAAACUUAAAUUAUUGUAAAAAUAAAGGAUUAAUAGUUAUGUUCUUUAAAUUUAAAAAAGUUGGCGGUAUUUUAUCUAAUUAGGGGAAUUUGUUUUUUAAAUGAUGAUCCGCGAGAAAUCUUACUUUUUUUAAUUAGUUUAUGUAUUUCCGUUAUCAGAAUAUUUUUUAAAAAUUUAUUUUUAAAUAUUCUUAAUUUAUUAAUUUAAUUUAUUUCAGGUCAAAGUGUAGCUUAUAAAAAAGUUAAAAUGAAUUACAAUAAAAUUAUUUAUUAUGAAUUUUAAAUUGAAAAAUUUAAAUGAAGGUGGACUUAAUAGUAAAAUUAUAUAUUUUAAUAUUUUGAAUAUAGGUCUAAAAUAUGU
rnacentral:rRNA from 1 species